GAUGAACGCUGGCGGCGUGCCUAAUACAUGCAAGUUGAGCGAAUAGAUUAAGAGCUUGCUCUUAUGAAGUUAGCGGCGGACGGGUGAGUAACACGUGGGUAACCUGCCCAUAAGACUGGGAUAACUCCGGGAAACCGGGGCUAAUACCGGAUAACAUUUUGAACCGCAUGGUUCGAAAUUGAAAGGCGGCUUCGGCUGUCACUUCUGGAUGGACCCGCGUCGCAUUAGCUAGUUGGUGAGGUAACGGCUCACCAAGGCAACGAUGCGUAGCCGACCUGAGAGGGUGAUCGGCCACACUGGGACUGAGACACGGCCCAGACUCCUACGUGAGGCAGCAGUAGGGAAUCUUCCGCAAUGGACGAAAGUCUGACGGAGCAACGCCGCGUGAGUGAUGAAGGCUUUCGGGUCGUAAAACUCUGUUGUUAGGGAAGAACAAGUGCUAGUUGAAUAAGCUGGCACCUUGACGGUACCUAACCAGAAAGCCACGGCUAACUACGUGCCAGCAGCCGCAGUAAGAC
rnacentral:rRNA from 1 species